rnacentral:rRNA from 1 species
GGAUGAACGCUGGCGGCGUGCUUAACACAUGCAAGUCGAACGAAGCACUUAAGAUUGAUUCUUCGGAUGACGUCUUUUGUGACUUAGUGGCGGACGGGUGAGUAACGCGUGGGUAACCUGCCUCACACAGGGGGAUAACAGUUAGAAAUGACUGCUAAUACCGCAUAACCCGAUAGGAUCGCAUGAUCCAGACGGAAAAGAUUUAUCGGUGUGAGAUGGACCCGCGUCUGAUUAGCUAGUUGGUGAGGUAACGGCCCACCAAGGCGACGAUCAGUAGCCGGCCUGAGAGGGUGAACGGCCACAUUGGGACUGAGACACGGCCCAAACUCCUACGGGAGGCAGCAGUGGGGAAUAUUGCACAAUGGGGGAAACCCUGAUGCAGCGACGCCGCGUGAGUGAAGAAGUAUUUCGGUAUGUAAAGCUCUAUCAGCAGGGAAGAAAAUGACGGUACCUGACUAAGAAGCCCCGGCUAACUACGUG